GGGGGGGUGGAAGGCGAGUUGGUAAGGGCAUACGGCUACUAACCUGAAGGUUGCAGGCUCAAUUCCUGCCCUUUUCA